ensembl:lncRNA LINC00518 long intergenic non-protein coding RNA 518
ACAGGAUUAUGAAGCCAUAAUCCUCAAUGUGACUAUAUUUGGAGCAGGGGCCUUUACAGACAUAAUUAAAUUAAAUGAGGUCAUAAGAGUGGGGCCCUAGUCUGAUAGGACUGGUGUCCUUACAAGAAGAGGGAGAGUCCUCAGAGAGUCCUCUCUCUCGGCAUGGACACAAAAGAAAAGCCAUGUGAGGACACAGAGAGAAGGUGGCUGUCUACGAGCUAGGAAGAAAGGCCUCACCGGAAACCAACCCUCACAGCAGCUCCAUCUUGGACUUCCAGCCUCCGGAACUGUGAGAAAAUAAAUGUUUGCAAUUCAGGGAGCUCCACCCAGCAGCAGCGUUUGACAGAGCUGUUCACUUCCUCUUCCUGGAGCUGUGGCUUCCAGAGCCCAUGCUCAGCAGUUCCCCUCCUUCUUCGACUGCUCCUCUCUUAGGCUCAAAACCUGUAACAAUGCAUGGCACACGGAAGAUGUGAGAAUUUGCUGAAUAACUGAAUGGCACCAUGUUGCCUCACCUAAGGAUAAUGACUAAGAAUAGGAAAAAUUUACUGUGCAAAGAUCAGUUCUUAAUAGCUGUCUACAUCUCAGAACAAAAAAAAUUAGAUGUAAACCAUUGCACAAAGGAUUAGAUGAAAUUUUUUUGAAAAAUCAGACAUUGGAGGCUCAGAGCCACUCAGACAUUGGGAAGCAAGUUUGUCAAGAUGACAGAGAACCGAGGUAAUGGAUUCGAGUGAUGAAACAGGAAGUUCAUUCAUGAGUUUUUGGCCACACCUCCAAAGUGACGACUUAGCCAGAAAUGGGAUAACUGGGUUUCCCUACUUCUCUUUUAUCAUCCUCAAUGAGAGUGACCAAAUAUUAGAGCUAGAUGGAACCUUAGUGAAAAUCUGGCUACUCGUCCCGUCCCACCAGCCUGCCACCCAUUUCAAGUUUGAAGAGACAAAGACACAUGGACCUUAUGUAAUUACUGGGGAUUACCCCAGGAGUCUGUGGCAAAAGUCAGCUUCUUCCCUCCCUGCUUCCCCGCCCUGUCUCUGGUACUUUCUACCAACACUGGGCUGUUUCUGUGAUCACACUUAAGCGUACCUAACCUGCGAAUGCUGUAUAGAAGGUGCUAAUGAACAUGAUUUAGCUUUAACACUCAGUUUUCUAAAGGGACACGUGGGGGCAGCAAAUGUUUAGGCAAAAACAAUUCCAGUUCUAGCCUCUACUGUCUACAUAUGUGUAUACAUUUGGGAAACGUUUGGGAAAGGGAUAUUUGAGAGCUUCUUUUUCUUUUUUGUGGUUUAGUUAUUUGAUGAUAUUGAGAUUGUUUCUGAGCCAUGUGCUUCAACAUCGGAUUGGGGAUUUCAGAAAAAGUUUUAGUCACUGUGAUUCCAUUUAGCUUCCAAAUGUGUCUCUGCUAAGAGACUUAAAAGCACUCAUAAAUAGCACGUGUGUCUUCUUUGCAGUGUUUGCUAAUUUUGAGUCACAUCUUUUUAGAAAAUCAUGAGAUUUGGUGUCACAGAGACUGGAAUAAAUAUAGUCAAACUUAUUGGUGAAGAUUUCCUUUAGCUGUUUUCAUAAUCCAUUUCCAUUGUUAUGAUUAUUGAUGAAUAAAACAUUUUCUUUAGGUAGAUACUUCUUUUUUCCCCCCACCUUGAUUUAAUGUUUCCACUCUUAUUGUCAAGUUUCUUAUUACUCCCUAAUAACUCUCAAUAAAAUAAUGAUUCCUG